AAUCUCCUUCUAGAUUGGUGUAACCGAACAAGCCUUAAUAGAGCCAGAUACUACUUCUUUGAAGAGUUCGGGGCACUAAAACAUAUUAUCCUCCAAUGAACCCUAUAAUCGGAAUUAGUUUCAUUUUCCUAUCGCACAUACUUUUGGUGCCUAGCUAUUUCGCCGCCGCACCUGUGUUCCAGAAGUUGCGGCCAAUCGAUCUGAUCCAGAGCAGGGGAGCAGCCUGGCAUCACCUCGUCGGUGGAGCAUCGAUCCAAAACCUGCAAGUAUGUUAGAGGCCGUUGGAGCACCUGUUCCUCUCUGGACAUGAGGACGGACGGACCAUCGGGUAGAGGCGUAGAGCAGAGCAAUGGAGAUCCUGGGGGCGACGAUUGGUGAAGGCAGAGGCGGACCCACGUUGGGCACAGCUCCCACUCAAUUUUCUAGUUUUAGUGGAGUUUUUAUCUUAUUCACUGUAGCUAUGAAGAUUUAUUAGUAAGGCUAUGUUCGGUAGUCGUGGUUAUAAUCAACAAGUGGAAUUAAUCCAGACGUGGAUUGAGUGGAUCCCCUGCCGUCACUUUUUCCCUGUGUGGUUUAA